rnacentral:rRNA from 1 species
GCGGCAACAGCUCAAAUUUGAAAUCUGGCGCAAGCCCGAGUUGUAAUUUGUAGAGGAUGCUUCUGGGUAGCGACCGAUCUAAGUUCCUUGGAACAGGACGUCAUAGAGGGUGAGAAUCCCGUAUGUGACCGGCCCGCACCCUUUACGUAGCUCCUUCGACGAGUCGAGUUGUUUGGGAAUGCAGCUCUAAAUGGGAGGUAAAUUUCUUCUAAAGCUAAAUACCGGCCAGAGACCGAUAGCGCACAAGUAGAGUGAUCGAAAGAUGAAAAGUACUUUGGAAAGAGAGUUAAAAAGCACGUGAAAUUGUUGAAAGGGAAGCGCCUGCAACCAGACUUCGCGGCAGUGUUCCGCCGGUCUUCUGACCGGUUCAUUCUCUGUCGCGAGGCCAUCAUCGUCUGGGCCCGCCGGAUAAGACCUUAGGAAUGUAGCUCACCUUCGGGGGAGUGUUAUAGCCUAGGGUGAUGCGGCGAGGCUCGGGCGAGGUCCGCGCUUCGGCAAGGAUGAUGGCGUAAUGGUUGUCGGCGGCCCGUCUUGAAACACGGACCAAGGAGUCUAACAUCUAUGCGAGUGUUCGGGUGUCAAACCCCUACGCGUAAUGAAAGUGAACGGAGGUGGGAACCGCAAGGUGCACCAUCGACCGAUCCUGAUGUCCUCGGAUGGAUUUGAGUAAGAGCAUAGCUGUUGGGACCCGAAAGAUGGUGAACUAUGCCUGAAUAGGGUGAAGCCAGAGGAAACUCUGGUGGAGGCUCGCAGCGGUUCUGACGUGCAAAUCGAUCGUCAAAUUUGGGUAUAGGG